GAGAAGGAGGGAAACCAAGUCUUAAUAGGGCGGAAUAGUCAGUCAGAGUAGACCCGAAACCGGGUGAUCUACCCAUGUCCAGGUUGAAGUUGCCGUAAAAGGCAAUGGAGGACCGAACGCACAUCCGUUGAAAAGGGUGGCGAUGAGGUGUGGAUAGGGGAGAAAUUCCAAUCGAACUCGGAGAUAGCUGGUUCUCCUCGAAAUAGUUUUAGGACUAGCCUGUCAGGAGUCUGCUGGAGGUAGAGCACUGAAUUUUUGCGGGGGCGUCAAAGCCUACCAAUGAAUAUCAAACUCCGAAUGCCAG
rnacentral:rRNA from 1 species